GAACAGCUGAUGUUUGUGUGUUACCUCCUCCAGGCUUAGCCAGUGUCAGCAAGGUCACCAUGACUGCAGGAGACAUGUACAGGGACACCAGUUUGACUGAGGAAGUUACCAAAACAGGCUGAGAAGGAUUUAUUCAACUACUUUGGUCAUUAAAAGUUAUACUACUACUACUACUACUAAUAAUAAUAAUAAUAAUAAUAAUUUUUCCUGCUCUUCUUCUCUAGGUUUUAUUCUUAGGUCAUGUUAGUUUCCUCCCUGAUUAGUAAAUGAGUUCACCUGGUCUCUCUCUCCCCACACACCUGCAGCUCAUCUCCCUCUCAUCCUCCCCUGUGUAUAAAACCCUGCCUGUGUCACAGUGUUUUGUCGGUUCAUUGUUUCUUGUCAGUCUCGUCUCGUUUGGCUCGCUAGCUUCUAGUGUUUUUGGAUCUCUGAUUUAGUCAUUUGGAUUUUUGGUUUUUGGCUCCCUGCCUUUUGGAUUACUCCUAAAUAAAGGAUUUCAUUUUCAUCAUCUACCUCCUGCCUCGUUCAUCUGGUUUCCUGCAUCUUGGGUCCUAAACUUCCUCCUGCCUUAAUCGUGACACCUUUAACAUAUCAGCGAGCAGAUGUUCACUUGCUGCCACGAGUCACUUUGAAGACACAGUGUUUUUCGCUUCACCUGCUGUUAGACACAAUGUUGGGACUGACUGCUGAUCUUUUUUGUGAAGCUCCUCAUUGCACUUUUCAGCUUUUCGUCGUUUUGUUUCUGGUUGAUGGAGACAGUCGUCAUUUUUAGGGGUGAGAGCGGUGUCGACACAUUCUUGUCAGAAACAGCAAAAGCUGCAGAAAAAAGGCUGAGCAAGAUUCUGCUUGAAAGACUAAAUUAAAUGGGUCGUCUUCAUACGCCACAAAGUUCCCAGAGAAAUUAUGAUGUCGGUGCUUUUGAUUAGAACAGAAAAAGGUGUGCUUCUAUUGACGGAUGAAGAGCUCUGUCAUGAAUGGAGGUGACUCACAAAAAGGAACACGAAGGACGGUCGGUAGUCCUCCCCAUAAAUCCCAGUGAUGCCCCAGGGUGCAUUUAUAAUCAUCUGUGUUGGUCUUUUCCUCCGUUUAAGUCUGUAUUUAGAGCCAUUAACCCACUGUAUGUAACCCCUCUCCCGCACUCCUUCAUUCUGCUUCCUAAUAGCCUGGAUUAGCUGCUCCUUUAAUAGACUCAUCCAUCUCCUCUGUUUAUUCACCAGUUUUACACACAUUCUUCCUCUCCACCUCUUCCUCCCUCCAUCUUCUUGGCUCAUGGGCAAUUACACAAACAAAUGCCGUUUGUUUUUCCACUCCAUGUCUGGCCGGAAAAGGCAAAGUAAUGGAUUUAUCAUGCCGUUACUGUUUUAAAUCCAAGGUCAGCUAGUGGAGUAUAUCCUCACAGAGGGAAAAGGUGGUGUCGUGCAAUCGCUGCUUCAGUUUGCACAUUUAGCAUGUAGAUUUAUGUAAAUUCUUUCCUCAGAGUUUAGUCUCUAUUGGACAGAGCUUCAGCCCCUGCCAGGCAGACCCAGAAUUUAUCCAGCCUGACGUGGAGGGAUAAAAGCGAGGGAAGCUACGGUGGAUCGUGUUACAUUCGAUGGUCUAACCAUGCUUCGGGUGGGUGUGGUGAACAGGGUGCUGCGUGAGUUGUCGGCAGAUCCCGGUCCCAGGUUUCAACCAGUGUCUUACUCCUGGUACUCCGCUGAUUCUGUCGUGAUAUUCACUGCAUUCCUAAACCUCUGCCUGUCAUGAGGUUUGUCAUUUUUCCUGUUCCGUCACUUCUCCGCACGGUUGGCCUUUCCAGGGUACUUGGUCCGCAAUGUCGGGUGGCGCCUGUCUCGGGCCAUCGCACCGGUUCGUGAAGCACCGGCUGCCCAGGUGCCUCCGCCUGAGCUGGCCGGUCCUGCUCCUCCACCUGCACCUCCUGCGCCUUCAGCUAGAACUUCGAAGGUGGAGUGAUUUCUAUUGCCAGACUCGUCGGCUCCAUAGUGCUCUAUCUCGAGUUACACAAGUUUGUCUAUGUUUGUUUGUGUGCAUGGUUGUCUUUCCUGCUUACACAUGACGUGCGGACUUGGGUGAUUUGAGAUGAACAUGCUGUGGGUUCCUGAAGUCAGGUAAUCAGUUAACAGUAGAUGGGUUUAGUCCACAUAUUACUGUUAUCCAAAUUUGUUUUUAUUUUCACAAAUCGUAAUUCCUUAUGGGUACAUUUACAUGUAGGUUGAUUACUAACUUCACAGAUUUACAUUUUUAGUGCUCUUUGACUCAUAUAUCUAUCUUUUUUAUAGAAUUUUGCCACAGUGAUUAAGUUUAGAAAACUUUAUGAUUAACUUUGUUAAUUUACCAUUAUGGGCUACAACCAUUUUUGCCCUUAAUUUUGAUUACACUUUUACUUAGUGCAGUGAUUUCUCCCAUACGCAGUACAGGGUUUUAUUAGUUUUAUUCUUUUUGUACCACUUUUUCCAGUACACGUGGUGUAUUGCAUCCAUUUCUUCACUUAAAAUGCUAAUUCACAUAAUUGCUACACAUAGUACAUGUAGGUACUCAUACUGAUAGGUUUCUUUUUGUUUAUUAAUUAGCAUUAGACGCCAUUUUGUUGUGUCUACAUUGAAGUGCCCUGUGCUGUGCUCUCUCUCCUCUGCUGAGUUUUGUCGAUGAUCCGUGAUUCCUGGGGGUGGACCUAUGAUUCGUCAUUGGAUUCUACUCCUGAUUGGUGUUCCGGCUCAUAGGACCUGGACGCACGUGGAUUCCGGCAUGGUUGCUGGGAUACUUCGCUUGCUGGGACCUGACCUACCUGCUGCUCUUUCCUGCACUGGAUCACGAUAAGUGCAAUUACAAAGAUCAAUAUACUAUUUUGGAAGAAUUCCCUACCCGUGGAUAUGUAAAGUUUAGCUCCUGCUUCAAAUUGUUACUUCCACGGGGAUAUCUUGAUAAUCUGCUGACUUGCGUGCUUCCAAAGGGAUCAUGCAAGACUGUACUUCGGAGUGGCUUUCGUACCUCAUCCCCUUUUGGCCUCUUCCUGGGAACUGCACCUUCCCCUAUCGUCAGAGUCCCUUUAGGACUCUGGUUUGUUCAACGCCAGGUGGUCUCUGUACGGACCACCAUACCAUUGAAAAGGGAGGAUAUGUAACGGAAUGAAAUGACUGUUUUCCACCUAAAAGUCAUUUUACCCCCUCUCUUCAGCAAUAACUAAUCUGCAUGAGAUAUUGCUCAUGGUCAUGCGUUUGCUUCUAAAACUUUUCCUUUCCAGCCCAAGAGAAAAAUGAAGACAAAGGACUCUUUCUUUUUAAUAAAUCAAAGAACUCUAUUUUUAAUAAAGCUAAUCAAACAAAGUGUUAGUCAAUAAUAAGAUGUUGACCAAUCUGUGAAAUGACAAUGUUAUGAUUAGUAAGUUUUAUUAAGUAAUUCGACUUUAUUCUAGCUGCAGUAGACAUCCUGAUCACUCGUAAUGUAAAUGCAUGACUCAUUGCUUUUACUCAUCCAAUCAGAACCUUCCUUUCUGAAGCGUGGCAUAGUCUCUGUGGUGUUUAUAAAUCUGCCCAACUUUGAUUUGACCAUAAAUCAAAACAUCCAGAUUAAUAAAACCAGUCCCACACCA